rnacentral:rRNA from 1 species
AUUGAACGCUGGCGGCAGGCCUAACACAUGCAAGUCGAACGGUAACAGGAAACAGCUUGCUGUUUCGCUGACGAGUGGCGGACGGGUGAGUAAUGUCUGGGAAACUGCCUGAUGGAGGGGGAUAACUACUGGAAACGGUAGCUAAUACCGCAUAACGUCGCAAGACCAAAGAGGGGGACCCUCGGGCCUCUUGCCAUCGGAUGUGCCCAGAUGGGAUUAGCUUGUUGGUGGGGUAACGGCUCACCAAGGCGACGAUCCCUAGCUGGUCUGAGAGGAUGACCAGCCACACUGGAACUGAGACACGGUCCAGACUCCUACGGGAGGCAGCAGUGGGGAAUAUUGCACAAUGGGCGCAAGCCUGAUGCAGCCAUGCCGCGUGUAUGAAGAAGGCCUUCGGGUUGUAAAGUACUUUCAGCGGGGGGGAAGGGAGUAAAGUUAAUACCUUUGCUCAUUGACGUUACCCGCAGAAGAAGCACCGGCUAACUCCGUG